rnacentral:tRNA from 1 species
UCGUCCUUAGUUUAUUUAGAAUUGCAAUUUGUCGGGUUGUUGGAGUAAUUUGAGAUUAUAGGGGGAG